GCCUGUAAUUACAAAUUCCCUCUUCAACAAUGUAAAAAUCUGUUCUUCUUUAAAACGAACAACCAACUCAGCUAACACCCCCACCAUGGAGCUACCUAUUGGGAGGCCUAUUGUCUGCAGGUAAAAUUGAUCAUUAAAUGUAAAAAAUGACUUGUGAAUGAUCAGAUGGCAUAUAUAUCUAAGUAGUCAUGGAUUGCAUUGAUAAUCUUGUAAAUUCUUCAGUAGAAACUUGUACAAAAAGAGACAAGCUGGUUCUAGCUGCAUGGAUGGGUACAGCGCUUUAAAAUUGUAGAUCUGCAUGAGCUGGUUUGGCAGGGGACCAACUUCAAGAAGUUUAUCAAUAAAACCUUUUGUGGAAACCAUUGUGAAUUCAUAGUUUGACAUCUUACUAAUACACCACUUUGCUAAUCUUUUCUCCAAAAAGUAUGUCAGAGCUGAGGUUUUCUCCACUACAUGUCGGGCUUCCACAGGUUGUUUGUCGUUUCAGAAACGCAAAUAAUCUGGGUGCUUUUGGCGAUGUCACUGAAGCAUUUCUUAAGAAGGAUGGGAGUUCUUUGUGCUUCAAUAUUCUACGAACUUCAUUGUCGAUCAAGUCUGUCGGAUCUACAUCCAAGAGCUGGCAUCUAGUAUCUUGAAGGAAGUUGUGGAUGAAUGAAAGGUUUUAUUGAUAAACUUCUUGAGGUUGGUCCUCUGCCGGGCCGGCUCAUGCGGAUCUAUGAUUUUAAAGCACUGUA
rnacentral:lncRNA from 1 species